AAAAACUAGAAACAAAUAUCUCAUCCUCCGUUUAAAAAAAAACUAAUUUGCAAAGAUCAAUUUGGACAAACAAAUAAUUAUCUGGACUCAUAUUCCUACAAUUUUUUUAAUCGAAAGGAUAUAUAUCUGUUGUGCUCUCUCUCUCCUCAAUUAUAGAUUCUCUCUAGGAACGUGAUGAUAUAGCAGAAAUUGUUUUUUAGCCUGCUGGCUUGUACUUCCUGCUUUACCGACGUUGCUUCUCGGAAGCACACACCCAGUCGACGACGACUUGACUUCAUCCUUAUCACUAAAAACGCCGCCUGAGUAAUACAAAGAGGCGUAGGCCUGCCUGACUAUAAUUGGCUCGAUGAUCGACUGCAACUGCAUCAAAACAUUCAGCAUAUCUCUUGCUAUCUUGCAAUUGCAAAUUAGUUAUACUCGUAGCUACUGCGCGCGCACUAAUUGACUACACAAGCAAAUAUGGGUUCUCCUUCUGCCAAGUACUUGCUGUUUAGCCUUGCAAUCCUGCUGGUCCUGAGUAGCCAGCAGCAAGCUCUGCUGCCUUCGGCAUUCGCCCGCCAGUUGGUUCCGAUGCCCACGAACACUGCCGCCGGCCACGCAGAUGUCACGGAGGAAAAGCCUAGCGUCCCGCCGUCGAGCGUAACAAAGAUCUGCCGAGUUUUACGUAUCUGCAAACGAUCAUCGUCGGCCGCAACAUCGGCCAAGCCGUGAUGUGUCAACGACGGCAAAUGCAUGCACGCGGGAAUAAAUAAUGGAGGCACCGAUUAGGAUCAACAAUAUGGUUAGUCCAUUAAAUAUGUGUGUAAGCUCGAUCGAUAUGGAAUAAUGAGAAACAAAUAAACAAUGAGAAACAAAUAUUCACCAUGUUUAUUACUACCUCUGUUUUCAAAUAAAUAGUAUUGAUUAGUGUAAUUUUGAACUAA